rnacentral:rRNA from 1 species
UGGGGAAUAUUGCACAAUGGGCGCAAGCCUGAUGCAGCGACGCCGCGUGAGGGAUGACGGCCUUCGGGUUGUAAACCUCUUUCACACAUGACGAAGCGCAAGUGACGGUAGUGGGAGAAGAAGCACCGGCCAACUACGUGCC